CGGGUGAGUAACGCGUGAGGAACCUGCCUCAAAGAGGGGACGAACAGUUGGAAACGACUGCUAAUACCGCAUAAGCCCACGGCUCGGCAUCGAGCAGAGGGAAAAGGAGCAAUCCGCUUUGAGAUGGCCUCGCGUCCGAUUAGCUAGUUGGUGAGGUAACGGCCCACCAAGGCGACGAUCGGUAGCCGGACUGAGAGGUUGAUCGGCCACAUUGGGACUGAGACACGGCCCAG
rnacentral:rRNA from 1 species